UACGGGGGGGGCAAGCGUUGUUCGGGAUUACUGGGCGUAAAGGGCUCGUAGGCGGCCAACUAAGUCAUACGUGAAAUCCCUCGGCUUAACCGGGGAACUGCGUCUGAUACUGGAUGGCUUGAGUUCGGGAGAGGGAUGCGGAAUUCCAGGUGUAGCGGUGAAAUGCGUAGAUAUCUGGAGGAACACCGGUGGCGAAGGCGGCAUCCUGGACCGAUACUGACGCUGAGGAGCGAAAGCCAGGGGAGCAAACGGG
rnacentral:rRNA from 1 species